rnacentral:rRNA from 1 species
UACGGAGGAUGCAAGCGUUAUCCGGAAUGAUUGGGCGUAAAGCGUCCGCAGGUGGCUGUGUAAGUCUGCUGUUAAAGAGUGAGGCUCAACCUCAUAAAGGCAGUGGAAACUACAUGGCUAGAGUGCGUUCGGGGCAGAGGGAAUUCCUGGUGUAGCGGUGAAAUGCGUAGAGAUCAGGAAGAACACCAGUGGCGAAGGCGCUCUGCUAGGCCGUAACUGACACUGAGGGACGAAAGCUAGGGGAGCGAAUGGG